rnacentral:rRNA from 1 species
UACGUAGGUGGCAAGCGUUGUCCGGAUUUACUGGGCGUAAAGAGCGCGCAGGCGGCUGGUCAAGUCCGAUGUGAAAUCUCCCGGCUCAACUGGGAAACAGCAUCGGAAACUGAUCGGCUUGAAGAUGGGAGAGGGUAGUGGAAUUCCCGGUGUAGUGGUGAAAUGCGUAGAUAUCGGGAGGAACACCAGUGGCGAAGGCGACUACCUGGCCCAUUCUUGACGCUGAGGCGCGAAAGCUAGGGGAGCGAACGGG